GACGAACGCUGGCGGCGUGCUUAACACAUGCAAGUCGAACGGAAAGGCCUUUUCGGCGGUACUCGAGUGGCGAACGGGUGAGUAACACGUGGGUGAUCUGCCCUGCACUCUGGGAUAAGCCUGGGAAACUGGGUCUAAUACCGGAUAGGACCGCACUUUAGUGUGUGUGGUGGAAAGUUUUUUCGGUGUAGGAUGAGCCCGCGGCCUAUCAGCUUGUUGGUGGGGUAAUGGCCUACCAAGGCGGCGACGGGUAGCCGGACUGAGAGGUUGGUCGGCCACAUUGGGACUGAGAUACGGCCCAGACUCCUACGGGAGGCAGCAGUGGGGAAUAUUGCACAAUGGGCGCAAGCCUGAUGCAGCGACGCCGCGGGGGGGAUGACGGCCUUCGGGUUGUAAACUCCUUUCGCCAGGGACGAAGCGUUUUGUGACGGUACCUGGAGAAGAAGCACCGGCUAACUACGUG
rnacentral:rRNA from 1 species